rnacentral:rRNA from 1 species
UACGUAGGGUGCAAGCGUUAAUCGGAAUUACUGGGCGUAAAGCGUGCGCAGGCGGUUUUGUAAGUCUGUCGUGAAAUCCCCGGGCCCAACCUGGGAAUUGCGAUGGAGACUGCAAGGCUAGAAUCUGGCAGAGGGGGGGUAGAAUUCCACGUGUAGCAGUGAAAUGCGUAGAGAUGUGGAGGAACACCGAUGGCGAAGGCAGCCCCCCUGGGUCAAGAUUGACGCUCAUGCACGAAAGCGUGGGGGAGCAAA